GCCAGACUCCUACGGGAGGCAGCAGUGGGGGAUAUUGCACAAUGGGGGGAACCCUGAUGCAGCGACGCCGCGUGGGUGAAGAAGCGCCUCGGCGCGUAAAGCCCUGUCAGCAGGGAAGAAAAUGACGGUAGCAGAGGAGGAAGCUCCGGCUAACUACGUGCCAGCAGCCGCGGUAAUACGUAGGGAGCAAGCGUUGUCCGGAUUUACUGGGUGUAAAGGGUGCGUAGGCGGCUUUGCAAGUCAGAAGUGAAAUCCAUGGGCUUAACCCAUGAACUGCUUUUGAAACUGCAGAGCUUGAGUGGAGUAGAGGUAGGCGGAAUUCCCGGUGUAGCGGUGAAAUGCGUAGAGAUCGGGAGGAACACCGGCGGCGAAGGCGGCCUGCUGGACCGCGACUGACGUUGAGGCUCGAAAGCGUGGGGAGCGAACAGGAUUAGAUACCCUCGUA
rnacentral:rRNA from 1 species